rfam:Schistosoma curassoni strain Dakar, Senegal genome assembly, scaffold: SCTD_scaffold0003180
CCACUGCUGAGGAGUCCCAUACUAGGACGAAACGGCCGUCCAGUUC